GAUGAACGCUGGCGGCGUGCCUAAUACAUGCAAGUCGAGCGAACGGACGAGAAGCUUGCUUCUCUGAUGUUAGCGGCGGACGGGUGAGUAACACGUGGAUAACCUACCUAUAAGACUGGGAUAACUUCGGGAAACCGGAGCUAAUACCGGAUAAUAUUUUGAACCGCAUGGUUCAAAAGUGAAAGACGGUCUUGCUGUCACUUAUAGAUGGAUCCGCGCUGCAUUAGCUAGUUGGUAAGGUAACGGCUUACCAAGGCAACGAUGCGUAGCCGACCUGAGAGGGUGAUCGGCCACACUGGAACUGAGACACGGUCCAGACUCCUACGGGAGGCAGCAGUAGGGAAUCUUCCGCAAUGGGCGAAAGCCUGACGGAGCAACGCCGCGUGAGUGAUGAAGGUCUUCGGAUCGUAAAGCUCUGUUAUUAGGGAAGAACAGAUGUGUAAGUAACUGUGCACAUCUUGACGGUACCUAAUCAGAAAGCCACGGCUAACUACGUG
rnacentral:rRNA from 1 species